GCCAAUUUACCUCACAAAUCAAUGGCUAAAACAACCAAAUGCAAGCUACUUCGGGGGUAACAGAAUCUAAGAACAUAUAUUUAUAUUUGCAUAAAAAUUUGGAAGUAUACAAAAAGCUAAUGGAAGUGUUAACUGAAUACUCACGUGAUAACUAAGAGUUUUUUUUCAGGCUCCUGGUGAGUUAGAACUGGAAAGACUCAAGAUAUCAUUGUGUCUGCUUCCCAUUCAAUGCUGGCAUGUCUUAUACAAUUCUCUGAACAAUUUUGAGAGAUAAAAGUUAUGAGUCCAGAUUUCAUUAAGAAAUGUUGUGAAAAUAAAUUCCAGCACAAGCAGCCAUCCACUAACGUCUUUGCCACCUCGUCUGUUGGAGCAGAUUCUUCCUGAGAUGGCUUGGGGAAGGUACUCUGUGAUUUCAGCACGUCAAGCACACAUCCAUGUGUUACGAAGACGUGGCACAUAUGGCAAUUAGGAAAAAAACGAUUAAACUAUUAGGACA